rnacentral:ncRNA from 1 species
AGGAGCCGGAUGAGCGGAGACGUUCACGUCCGGUUCUGUGAGAGCCUGCGGGGGUGGUUCCCGUGGGCUACUCGAC